rnacentral:lncRNA from 1 species
AGGAUCUAGGAUAGUUGUCCAGUUCGACCUGCUCCAAAAUCAACUCUGGCCUCAUCUACUACCUCAGGAUGGUCGCAGCCUCCAUGACAAGUUGAGCCGAUGGCACUUUGGAAUUGAUCACAUCAUCCUCCGUAAGAUAGUUUUCCAGGCCUGGCUACAAACACCACAGGAAGGGUAAAGGCCAUAUUCACCAACACCCU